UUGCAUGAGUCAGAUGGAUUUUGUUGAGGUAGAUUUUCUAUAGCCAGAUGCCCUUCCUGUCAUCAAUCCCCACCUGUUUCAAAGCAAAGUAAUACUUUCCCUUGGCUAGAUAUCUUU